ensembl:snoRNA
ACUGUUUAGUGACAGGCACAGGAGCAAGCACUGAGCGCCUGUGAGGGGUGGCUCCAUGUUGCCUUCCUUCUGAGAACAGU